rnacentral:rRNA from 1 species
GAUGAACGCUGGCGGCGUGCUUAAGACAUGCAAGUCGAACGCAGUCCGGCCGCAAGGCUGGGCUGAGUGGCGAAUGGGUGCGUAACACGUAGGUGACCUGCCCGGAAGUGGGGAAUAACAGUCCGAAAGGACUGCUAAUACCGCAUAGGAUGCCUGGGGUUAGAGGCCUAGGUAUCAAAGGUACGAGCAAUCGUGCCGCUUUCGGAGGGGCCUGCGGCCCAUCAGCUAGUUGGUAGGGUAAUGGCCUACCAAGGCAACGACGGGUAGGGGACCUGAGAGGGUGACCCCCCACACUGGCACUGACACACGGGCCAGACUCCUACGGGAGGCAGCAGUCGGGAAUAUUGCCCGAUGGACGAAAGUCUGAGGCAGCAACGCCGCGUGCGCGAUGAAGGCCUUCGGGUCGUAAAGCGCUUUUCGGGUGGAUGAGAGAGGACAGUACACCCGGAAUAAGGUACGGCUAACUACGUGCCAGCAGCCGCGGUAAAACGUAGGUACCGAGCGUUAUCCGGAUUUACUGGGCGUAAAGCGCGUUCAGGCGGUUUGGCAAGUCGGGCAUGAAAUCCUUCGGCUCAACCGGGGGAGGUUGUCCGAUACUGCUGAACUGGAGGGCAGUAGAGGGUGGUGGAAUUCCGGGUGUAGUGGUGAAAUGCGUAGAGAUCCGGAGGAACACCAGUGGCGAAAGCGGCCACCUGGACUGUACCUGACGCUGAAACGCGAAAGCUAGGGGAGCGAACGGGAUUAGAAACCCCGGUAGUCCUAGCUAUAAACGAUGUUGACUAGGUGUCGACGGUCUAAACCCCGCCGGUGCCGGAGCAAACGCAUUAAGUCAACCGCCUGGGGAGUACGGUCGCAAGGCUG